CUCUUCUCCCCACCUCCUCACCCAGCCUCUGGUAGCCAUCAUUCUACUCUCUACUUCUUUUUUUGAGGAACUUCCAUUCAGUUUCCCAUAAUGGCUGUGAGUCUGGAGUUUGUUCCUGCCGGUGGGUUCGUGGUCUCGCUGACUUCAAGAAUGAAGCUGCAGACGUUCGUGAGGAGAAAGCUGAAGCACCAGAUGGUUAAAAGGACUGUUCAAGACAGCCUUGCAAUUUUGACCAAGGAAGAAAGCUGAAGAGUGCUAGGGCAAGAGAGGAACUACGUCCAGAACAAUUCAUAAUUCCAAAUUCUCACUUCCAUGAUUUCAAUGCUGAAUGUGUACUUCUCUAGCUAAAAAUACAAUUGCUUAAGUAAAAUCAUCAUUAUUUACA